rnacentral:rRNA from 1 species
UAGGGAAUCUUCGGCAAUGGACGAAAGUCUGACCGAGCAACGCCGCGUGAGUGAAGAAGGUUUUCGGAUCGUAAAACUCUGUUGUUAGAGAAGAACAAGGACGUUAGUAACUGAACGUCCCCUGACGGUAUCUAACCAGAAAGCCACGGCUAACUACGUGCCAGCAGCCGCGGUAAUACGUAGGUGGCAAGCGUUGUCCGGAUUUAUUGGGCGUAAAGCGAGCGCAGGCGGUUUCUUAAGUCUGAUGUGAAAGCCCCCGGCUCAACCGGGGAGGGUCAAUCGAAACUGGGAGACUUGAGUGCAGAAGAGGAGAGUGGAAUUCCAUGUGUAGGGGUGAAAUGCGUAGAUAUAUGGAGGAACACCAGUGGCGAAGGCGGAUCUCUGGUCUGUAACUGACGCUGAGGCUCGAAAGCGUGGGGAGCAAACAGG